rnacentral:rRNA from 1 species
UACGUAGGGAGCAAGCGUUGUCCGGAAUCAUUGGGCGUAAAGCGCGUGUAGGCGGUUACAUAAGUCUGUUGUGAAAGUCGGAGGCUCAACCUUCGAAAGCCGAUGGAUACUGUGUGACUUGAGUACGGAAGAGGAGAGUGGAAUUCCUGGUGUAGCGGUGAAAUGCGCAGAUAUCAGGAGGAACACCAACGGCGAAGGCAGCUCUCUGGGACGUUUACUGACGCUGAGACGCGAAAAGCGUGGGGGAGCAAACAGG